AGUGAACGCUGGCGGUAGGCCUAACACAUGCAAGUCGAACGGCAGCACAGUAAGAGCUUGCUCUUACGGGUGGCGAGUGGCGGACGGGUGAGGAAUACAUCGGAAUCUACUUUUUCGUGGGGGAUAACGUAGGGAAACUUACGCUAAUACCGCAUAUGACCUACGGGUGAAAGCAGGGGAUCUUCGGACCUUGCGCGAUUGAAUGAGCCGAUGUCGGAUUAGCUAGUUGGCGGGGUAAAGGCCCACCAAGGCGACGAUCCGUAGCUGGUCUGAGAGGAUGAUCAGCCACACUGGAACUGAGACACGGUCCAGACUCCUACGGGAGGCAGCAGUGGGGAAUAUUGGGCAAUGGGCGCAAGCCUGAUCCAGCCAUACCGCGUGGGUGAAGAAGGCCUUCGGGUUGUAAAGCCCUUUUGUUGGGAAAGAAAAGCAGCAGGUUAAUACCCCGCUGUUCUGACGGUACCCAAAGAAUAAGCACCGGCUAACUUCGUG
rnacentral:rRNA from 1 species